rnacentral:rRNA from 1 species
GAGUUUGAUCCUGGCUCAGAUUGAACGCUGGCGGCAGGCCUAACACAUGCAAGUCGAACGAGAAAGUGGAGCAAUCCAUGAGUACAGUGGCGACCGGGUGAGUAACACGUGACUAACCUACCCUCGAGUGGGGAAUAACUCCGGGAAACCGGAGCUAAUACCGCAUAACAUCGCAAGAUCAAAGCCGAAAGGCGCUUGAGGAGGGGGUCGCGGCUGAUUAGCUAGUUGGCGGGGUAAUGGCCCACCAAGGCGAAGAUCGGUAUCCGGCCUGAGAGGGCGCACGGACACACUGGAACUGAAACACGGUCCAGACUCCUACGGGAGGCAGCAGUGGGGAAUUUUGCGCAAUGGGGGAAACCCUGACGCAGCAACGCCGCGUGGAGGAUGAAGUCCCUUGGGAUGUAAACUCCUUUCGACCGGGAAGAUACUGACGGUACCGGAAGAAGAAGCACCGGCUAACUCUGUGCCAGCCGCCGCGGUAA